GGGAGGCAGCAGUGGGGAAUUUUGCACAAUGGGGGAAACCCUGAUGCAGCGACGCCGCGUGGAGGAUGAAGGCCUUCGGGUUGUAAACUCCUUUUGUAGGGGACAAUGAUGAUGGUACCCUACGAAUAAGUCACGGCUAACUCUGUGCCAGCAGCCGCGGUAAGACAGAGGUGGCAAGCGUUGUUCGGAAUUACUGGGCUUAAAGGGCGCGUAGGCGGUGAGAUAAGUCUGAGGUGAAAUCCUAUGGCUUAACCAUAGAACUGCCUUGGAAACUGUUUUACUUGAGUCAGCGAGGGGAUGGCGGAAUUCCUGGUGUAGCGGUGAAAUGCGUAGAUAUCAGGAGGAAGGCCGGUGGCGAAGGCGGCCAUCUGGCGCUGAACUGACGCUGAGGCGCGAAAGCGUGGGGAGCAAACAGGAUUAGAUACCCUGGUAGUCCACGCCCUAAACGGUGGGUAUUAGGUGUAAGGCUCGUAAGGGUUCUGUGCCGUAGGGAAACCAUUAAAUACCCCGCCUGGGGAGUACGGCCGCAAGGUUGAAACUCAAAUGAAUUGACGG
rnacentral:rRNA from 1 species